UGCAACGCGAAGAACUUACCAAGGCUUGACAUACACCGGUAACGCCCAGAGAUGGGUGCCCCUUUGUGGUCGGUGUACAGGUGGUGCAUGGUUGUCGUCAGCUCGUGUCGUGAGAUGUUGGGUUAAGUCCCGCAACGAGCGCAACCCUCGUCCUAUGUUGCCAGCGGGUCAUGCCGGGGACUCAUGGGAGACUGCCGGGGUCAACUCGGAGGAAGGUGGGGAUGACGUCAAAUCAUCAUGCCCCUUAUGUCUUGGGCUUCACGCAUGCUACAAUGGCCGGUACAAAGGGCUGCGAUACCGCGAGGUGGAGCGAAUCCCAGAAAGCCGGUCUCAGUUCGGAUUGGGGUCUGCAACUCGACCCCAUGAAGUCGGAGUCGCUAGUAAUCGCAGAUCAGCAACGCUGCGGUGAAUACGUUCCCGGGCCUU
rnacentral:rRNA from 1 species